rnacentral:rRNA from 1 species
UGGGGGAUAUUGCACAAUGGGCGAAAGCCUGAUGCAGCGACGCCGCGUGGGGGAUGAAGGCUUUCGGGUUGUAAACCUCUUUCGCUAUCGAACAAGGCCCGCUUAGGGUGGGUUGAGGGUAGGUGGAGAAGAAGCACCGGCUAACUCCGUGCCAGCAGCCGCGGUAAUACGGAGGGUGCAAGCGUUAAUCGGAAUUACUGGGCGUAAAGCGCACGCAGGCGGUCUGUCAAGUCGGAUGUGAAAUCCCCGGGCUCAACCUGGGAACUGCAUUCGAAACUGGCAGGCUAGAGUCUUGUAGAGGGGGGUAGAAUUCCAGGUGUAGCGAUGAAAUGCGUAGAGAUCUGGAGGAAUACCGGUGGCGAAGGCGGCCCCCUGGACAAAGACUGACGCUCAGGUGCGAAAGCGUGGGGAGCAAACAGG